CGUCGUAGGCUACGAGAUACGCUGGCGGCUGCCUAAUACAUGCAAGUCGAGCAGUUUUCUGUGCUUGCACUAGAAAACUUAGACGGCGAACGGUGAGUAACACGUAAGAACCUGCCUCAUAGACUGGACAACUAUUGAAACGAUAGCUAAUACCGGAUAACAGCAUUAACUGCAUGGUUGAUGUUUAAAGUUGGUUAUGCUAACACUAUGAGAUGGCUUUGCGGUGCAUUAGCUAGUUGGUGGGGUAAAGGCCUACCAAGGCGACGAUGUAUAGCCGACCUGAGAGGGUGAUCGGCCACACUGGGACUGAGACACGGCCCAGACUCCUACGGGAGGCAGCAGUAGGGAAUCUUCCGCAAUGGGCGAAAGCCUGACGGAGCAACGCCGCGUGAGUGAAGAAGGAUUUCGGUUCGUAAAGCUCUGUUGUUAGGGAAGAAUGAUUGUGUAGUAACUAUACACAGUAGGGACGGUACCUAACCAGAAAGCCACGGCUAACUACGUG
rnacentral:rRNA from 1 species